GGUCAGCUUGUCCCUCCGACUCCCCCAAUGGCUCUGAGUGCAUUGACCAGUUGUGGUCCUCAACCUGACCAAAAGCAGGGUCUAUACUUAGAGAGACUGCAGACAUUUUCACAUAGUACACCGCUGGUGAGUAUGCAUGAUUGACAUUCUAUUGACAGGUUUGGCGAAAUAUUCAUCUCUGAUUAUCCAGGACAAUUGUAUAGUAAUACGUUUUAACCCUACCAAGACGAGAAAGAACGUUGAGAGAAUCCCCUGGGCUGUACAAUAUUUCUCUCAUAAAUGCAACACCUCGAUUGUUAUUACCUUAUUCAAAAUUCACUUUGUAUUUAAUAUUUAGGGGAUGUAUCACACAUUUGAUUGUGAACACCUGUCACCAUGUUACUGACAGCCCCCCUGUAUAUAUAUGUACAGUCUUUUCUUUUCUCUUUUUUCUUUUUUCUUUUUUCCCCCUUUUUUUCUUUAGUCCUUUAAUAGUGUCCCCUAAUGGUAAAUAAGUAAUUUUGGCUUCAUCUAGAAAACUUGAAUAAAUACUACCCAGAAGAGAUAGUAUGAAUAUGUUACUCCGUUUAAAUGCACUGAGAGAGACAUACAGGUCAAAUAUAACUUAUAGGAAUGAAUGGAAAUCCCACUAAGUUACUAUUUUUUUAGUAACAUACCCCCUAGAUUGAUUAUCAGGUGGUUAGAUGAUUGUAAAAACACCAUAAUUCAAUUUUUUUUUAACAUAACAAAUUUUUAAUUGCUCGUCAUAUCUAUAUGUUAGUGAUUUGAUACUUUGUAUUAUUGGUUUGGGUGAGAUACGGCAGUUUUGUUCUAACUAAUAAAGUUGCUUCAUGUACAACCGUGUUCACACGGCAGUGAUUGGUUGACGCGGCACGCGUGCGCAGUGGCAACAUGCCGCGCACGACAUGACGUCAUAGGUGCACGACCCGCAGGAGAGGGCGGGCGCACCAAAUAGAAAAUAAAAAUUGACCACAUCUCCUCUUAGCAGGGCCAUUGAAGGAACGGUUGGGUCCCGAGCGCGCAGCCCAUGCAGCCCAAGCAGCCCAAGCAACACACAGGAGAGACC